UAGGGAAUCUUCGGCAAUGGACGAAAGUCUGACCGAGCAACGCCGCGCGAGUGAAGAAGGUUUUCGGAUCGUAAAACUCUGUUGUUAGAGAAGAACAAGGACGUUAGUAACUGAACGUCCCCUGACGGUAUCUAACCAGAAAGCCACGGCUAACUACGUGCCAGCAGCCGCGGUAAUACGUAGGUGGCAAGCGUUGUCCGGAUUUAUUGGGCGUAAAGCGAGCGCAGGCGGUUUCUUAAGUCUGAUGUGAAAGCCCCCGGCUCAACCGGGGAGGGUCAUUGGAAACUGGGGGACUUGAGUGCAGAAGAGGAGAGUGGAAUUCCAUGUGUAGCGGUGAAAUGCGUAGAUAUAUGGAGGAACACCAGUGGCGAAGGCGGCUCUCUGGUCUGUAACUGACGCUGAGGCUCGAAAGCGUGGGGAGCAAACAGG
rnacentral:rRNA from 1 species